ACACCUUCCGGGAACUGUGAGUAGUGUUCGAGCGGCAGGCGGCGCGGCCCGGCCUGCCGGCGCCGCUCAAGAACGCUAUCCACAGCGGCGUGCAGCUGGUGUGCCGUCUGGCGCCGCCCAUGGAGGAACAGGCGCAAUAACGCAGACGGCGCUAGUAGGACAUAAGGACAUCUGCGACACCGUCGCACGCUCACACUUUACCUCCGUGUCCAGAACUCAACUACAACCUUAUUUCAGACAAACGGCUGUCUCUUUCUACAAACAGCUAGGAUAUAAGCAAGACUGGGACGGCUCUAUAUGGGCGUAUUAUUCACCGAAUGUCACCAGAAAAAGGCAGAGAAAUUCUAAAAAUCUUAUGUAUUUUUCUAGUGAUACUUAUAGUCCGACAAGUGUAGUAAUUAAAAAGUGGCACUUUUUAUUUAAUUUCUACACUUGUCGGAAUGUAGUGUGGAUUGCAAAAUGUCGCAAAAUUGUUUUAAAAUGACUGUCCUAUCAUCAUGUUAUAUUAUCUGUGUUGUCACGUGACAUAUGUCAAUGUCAAACGAAACGUUUGUAUGAACACGUAUUGUGAGCUUCACUUUGACAUAUUUAUUUAAAACUCUUGGUUUAUAUUGAAUCAAACUGUUGUAUCGAUAGUAUUUUAAUGGGACAAACUAAGGUAUUAUUUUAAGUUUAAUCUUACUUAAGUAUGAGUCAACGAUUUUGGUCAGAGUUAUUUUAAGCUGUUAUUUAGCACUUUGUUCUUGUGUUGUUUUGUUUAUCUAUUGAAAUGGUAAACAAAAGCAGUAUAAUAUAUAUCUGUCAAGUGAAACCAGACUGUAGGUUAGCCUAGAGAAAUAUCAAAACGAUGAAAUUUUCAUAUUGGGACCUCCUUACCCUGUCAAAAAUAAAAAAAUUUACUAUUAAAAAUCGGGUAAUUUUCUCUGUUUGUCGAACAAAUUCCUUAUGCAUUUCUUUUAUUAGUUCCCUUUUGAAACUGAUCAUUCCAUUUGUAUAAACUUCGAUGUUUUGUUUCGUUAGAUGUUUUUUACUUUCAACUGCUAUAUUUAUUUAAACAAUAUGGUAUGCACUUGGUUUGGGGUGAAUGUAGUCAGGAUUUUUAAAUAUAUGUUAAUAUAAGA